GGUUUCUGGAGGAAGGUUCGUCCGCUCCAGGUUAGUCGGGAGCUAAGGUGAGGCCGGAAGGCGUAGCCGAUGCACAGACGGUAGAGAUUCCGUCACCACCAAAAGAGUUAAGCACAGGGACACAUAUGAAGUCUCAGAGCCGGGUGUUGGUUCCGGUAGAGAUCGAGGGAAAUUAGUACCGAAGUCUGAGAUGGAAGAUGGCGAGAAAAGCUGUGUGUAUUUCUGAGGUGCCCGUACCGCAAACCGACACAGGUAGGUAGGAAGAAGAUUCUAAGGCCAACGGGAGAAGGGUUGUUAAGGAACUCGGCAAAUUGACCCCGUAACUUCGGGAGAAGGGGUGCUCCAGAGAUGGAGCCGCAGAGAAUCGGCCCAAGCAACUGUUUACCAAAAACACAGGUUUGUGCUAAAUCGAAAGAUGACGUAUACGAGCUGACGCCUGCCCGGUGCUGGAAGGUUAAGAGGAGAUGUGCAAGCAUUGAAUCGAAGCCCCAGUGAACGGCGGCCGUAACUAUAACGGUCCUAAGGUAGCGAAAUUCCUUGUCAGGUAAGUUCUGACCCGCAUGAAAGGCGUAAUGAUUUGGGCACUGUCUCAACAGCCCGCCCGGCGAAAUUGUAGUACCGGUGAAGAUGCCGGUUACCCGCGACAAGACGGAAAGACCCCAUGGAGCUUUACUGUAGCCUAAUAUUGGGUUUCGAUGUUGCAUGCACAGGAUAGAUGGGACUCUGGGAAACCAAGGCUUUGGCUUUGGCGGAGAGGCCGUUGGGAUACCAUCCUUGCGAUAUUGGAAUUCUAACCUGCGGCUCUGAAUCGAGUCGGGGGACAUUGUUAGGUGGGCAGUUUGACUGGGGCGGUCGCCUCCUAAAGAGUAACGGAGGCGUUCAAAGGUUCGCUCAGCUUGAACGGAAAUCAAGCAAAAGAGUGCAAACGCAGAAGCGAGCCUAACUGCGAGACUGACGGGUCGAGCAGUAACGAAAGUUGGAGUUAGUGAUCCGGUGGUAUGUGAGUGGAAAUGCCAUCGCUCAACGGAUAAAAGUUACCCUGGGGAUAACAGGCUGAUCUCCCCCAAGAGUCCACAUCGACGGGGAGGUUUGGCACCUCGAUGUCGGCUCAUCGCAUCCUGGGGCUGUAUUCGGUCCCAAGGGUUUGGCUGUUCGCCAAUUAAAGCGGUACGCGAGCUGGGUUCAGAACGUCGUGAGACAGUUCGGUCCCUAUCUGUCGUGGGCGCAGGAUAUUUGAUGGGAGCUGUCCCUAGUACGAGAGGACCGGGACGGACGUACCUCUGGCGCACCAGUUGUUCCGCCAGGAGCAUAGCUGGGCAACUACGUACGGAUCGGAUAAACGCUGAAAGCAUCUAAGCGUGAAGCCGACCCAAAGAUAAGAUAUCCCACUGAUUGAAUCAGGUAAGAUCCCUUGUAGACUACGAGGUUGAUAGGCACGAUGUGUAAGUGGAGCGAUCCAUUCAGCAAGUGUGUACUAAUAGAUCGAGGGCUUGACCAC
rnacentral:rRNA from 1 species